rnacentral:rRNA from 1 species
UACAACUUUCAACAACGGAUCUCUUGGCUCUCGCAUCGAUGAAGAACGCAGCGAAAUGCGAUAAGUAAUGUGAAUUGCAGAAUUCAGUGAAUCAUCGAAUCUUUGAACGCACCUUGCACCCUUUGGUAUUCCGAAGGGUAUGCCUGUUUGAGUGUCAUUAAAUUAUCAAA